UUUGAUUAUCGAUUAGUCGCGUCUGCGCGCUAUGCCCGGGAAACCAUCAGCUAGUCACGUUGCAGUAGCCUAGUGAAUAACCCAUUUCUAUGGACAAAACGCAUAUGGAAAGUAACGGAGGACACAGAGUAAGCUGCUGCGAAAAGAGACAUGGACUUGUGUUGAGUGCAUGUGUACAUGCAGCAUGAUGUGCGGCUACAGCUAGGAUGCAAUACCUGUACAUGCCUGGAGAAAGCUCACGGUUUGCAUUGGCAUUCAUCUCACCUGGCACAGGACAUUCACCCUUAGAUGUAAAAGUGGGUUGCUGUGCUGAUGGAGUGCAGUUUUGGCUGGAUGUGCAGAUUGUUUGACAUGCAUAAUUGGAUGUGAUAUCAUGACGACUCAUUUGGGCCAUGGGUUCCUCUGGGUCAUCUGCAUCUGUGUUCACCACUUAACGUUUGGAGUCAAAAACACACAGCUGGCCAUUUGAGGAGGCCGUCCCUGUGAAUCUGUCUAUUAUGGAUGAGGUUCUCAAACAUCUGAAUUGACAGCCCAUGGCCCUGCAGACCAGAGGGAAGCAUCAGUGCGCAUCUCCUGAGAAUUUUGUAGAGCUGGAAGACAAAAGCCUCUGCUGAUGCUUUCCAUCUGGCAAAGACUGAAGCUGGACUUCUAAAAUGAGGCAAAGUCCCCGCUCUGUGUUUGUUUUUUGUUUUUUUUAAGUCAUGUUCCAAUUACAUUUGAUGUUUGCAUGGUUUUUGGGUUGGCAAAUAAAAGGCAAAUGAAACCGCA